rnacentral:rRNA from 1 species
UAGGGAAUCUUCGGCAAUGGACGAAAGUCUGACCGAGCAACGCCGCGUGAGUGAAGAAGGUUUUCGGAUCGUAAAACUCUGUUGUUAGAGAAGAACAAGGACGUUAGUAACUGAACGUCCCCUGACGGUAUCUAACCAGAAAGCCACGGCUAACUACGUGCCAGCAGCCGCGGUAAUACGUAGGUGGCAAGCGUUGUCCGGAUUUAUUGGGCGUAAAGCGAGCGCAGGCGGUUUCUUAAGUCUGAUGUGAAAGCCCCCGGCUCAACCGGGGAGGGUCAUUGGAAACUGGGAGACUUGAGUGCAGAAGAGGAGAGUGGAAUUCCAUGUGUAGCGGUGAAAUGCGUAGAUAGAUGGAGGAACACCAGUGGCGAAGGCGGCUCUCUGGUCUGUAACUGACGCUGAGGCUCGAAAGCGUGGGGAGCAAACAGG